rnacentral:rRNA from 1 species
UACGUAGGGGGCUAGCGUUAUCCGGAAUUACUGGGCGUAAAGGGUGCGUAGGUGGUUUCUUAAGUCAGAGGUGAAAGGCUACGGCUCAACCGUAGUAAGCCUUUGAAACUGGGAAACUUGAGUACAGGAGAUGAGAGAGGAAUUCCUAGUGUAGCGGUGAAAUGCGUAGAUAUUAGGAGGAACACCAGUUGCGAAGGCGGCUCUCUGGACUGUAACUGACACUGAGGCACGAAAGCGUGGGGAGCAAACAGGAUUAGAUACCCUGGUAGUCCCUGAG